rnacentral:rRNA from 1 species
UACGAAGGGGGCUAGCGUUGCUCGGAAUCACUGGGCGUAAAGCGCACGUAGGCGGAUUGUUAAGUCGGGGGUGAAAUCCUGGAGCUCAACUCCAGAACUGCCUUCGAUACUGGCGAUCUUGAGUCCGGAAGAGGUGAGUGGAACUCCUAGUGUAGAGGUGGAAUUCGUAGAUAUUAGGAAGAACACCAGUGGCGAAGGCGGCUCACUGGUCCGGUACUGACGCUGAGGUGCGAAAGCGUGGGGAGCAAACAGG